rnacentral:rRNA from 1 species
GACGUAGGGGGCCAGCGUUGUUCGGAAUUACUGGGUGUAAAGGGUUCGUAGGCGGUGCGGCAAGUUGGGAGUGAAAUCUCUGGGCUUAACCCAGAGGCUGCUUCCAAAACUGCUGUGCUUGAGUGUGGGAGAGGCGCGUGGAAUUGCAGGUGUAGCGGUGAAAUGCGUAGAUAUCUGCAGGAACACCCGUGGCGAAAGCGGCGCGCUGGACCACUACUGACGCUGAGGAGCGAAAGCGUGGGGAGCAAACAGG